rnacentral:tRNA from 1 species
AAGGGAGACCUAAUUCAGGUAGGAGACGAAAAAAAAGUAGUCGCUACCAAGAAUCAAUCCCAAAAGGUCGGAGCGAGGCGAAAUUGGCUUUCAAACUAGGUUCUGGGUUCACACAAGGCCUGAAUCAGGAACAAGGGCUAUUAGCUCAGGUGGUUAGAGCGCACCCCUGAUAAGGGUGAGGUCCCUGGUUCGAGUCCAGGAUGGCCCACCUGUACAGGUGGCAAAAAGAAAGAAAAGAAGCGAGGAAUCAGCACCUUAUCUUACUGACAUAGUAAGAGAGAAUGCUGGCUCUGAGUAAAGAGUCCAGAGGAACCUUGAAAACUGCAUAGAGCUAGGUGAAAAAGCCAAAAAAGAAGACCGCAA